AUUGAACGCUGGCGGCAUGCCUUACACAUGCAAGUCGAACGGCAGCACGGACUUCGGUCUGGUGGCGAGUGGCGAACGGGUGAGUAAUGCAUCGGAACGUACCCGGUAGUGGGGGAUAACUACCCGAAAGGGUGGCUAAUACCGCAUAUACUGUGCGCAGGAAAGCAGGGGACCUUCGGGCCUUGUGCUACCGGAGCGGCCGAUGUCAGAUUAGGUAGUUGGUGGGGUAACGGCCUACCAAGCCUGCGAUCUGUAGCGGGUCUGAGAGGAUGAUCCGCCACACUGGGACUGAGACACGGCCCAGACUCCUACGGGAGGCAGCAGUGGGGAAUUUUGGACAAUGGGCGCAAGCCUGAUCCAGCCAUGCCGCGUGAGUGAAGAAGGCCUUCGGGUUGUAAAGCUCUUUCGGACGGAAAGAAAUCGCGCAGGCUAAUACCCUGCGCGGAUGACGGUACCGUCAUAAGAAGCACCGGCUAACUACGUG
rnacentral:rRNA from 2 species